GAUGAACGCUGGCGGCGUGCCUAAUACAUGCAAGUCGAGCGAACGGACGAGAAGCUUGCUUCUCUGAUGUUAGCGGCGGACGGGUGAGUAACACGUGGAUAACCUACCUAUAAGACUGGGAUAACUUCGGGAAACCGGAGCUAAUACCGGAUGAUAUUUUGAACCGCAUGGUUCAAAAGUGAAAGACGGUCUUGCUGUCACUUAUAGAUGGAUCCGCGCUGCAUUAGCUAGUUGGUAAGGUAACGGCUUACCAAGGCAACGAUGCAUAGCCGACCUGAGAGGGGGAUAGGCCACACUGGAAGUGAGACGCGGACCAGAGGCCUAAGGGAGGGCGCAGUAGGGAAUCUUACGCAAUGGGCGAAAGCCUGACGGAGCAACGCCGCGUGAGUGAUGAAGGUAUUCGGAUCGUAAAACUGUGUUAUGAGGGAAGAACAGAUGUGUAAGUAAAUGUGGACAGCGUGACGGUACCGAAUCAGAAAGCAACGGCUAACUACGUG
rnacentral:rRNA from 1 species